CUGAACUCAGCGAAAAGCACGAGAGCACAACGUUGCAAACAGAAACUGAACUCUGACACAAGCCACUCUCAUGGCUGAAGUUUAUUUUCUAUUGAUUUUGAAGCUUGAGAAACAUCUCUUAUCACACAAAGACAGGCAACGGUCAGGACAGAUUAGGAGGUACUCUGAGUAUGGAGGGGCCAGAUGAGGAGACUGAGCAAAGCCGUUGCUAUAAGUAGCAACGCAGUGCAUCUCAUUCCCAGUGACAUCGCUCUGGAGAGGCAAAAGAGAAACACCAAAUUCUACAACUUGCUGCAGGUACAGCAGGAACAAGAGCUGCUGUGUCAUAUUAUGGAUCCUUGGCAUUUCAUUGUGAAGAGGAGUGAUCAUGAUAUUAGUUACUGGAGGUGAAGACAAUGAACAAGAACACUACAGUGUGAGCUAAAUGACUUUUGAGAUCUCCUAAGUCAAAGGACUGAAUCCAUCAGCAGGCAUAUACAGGUUUUAGUAACUUUGAUAUAAAAUUGGCUGAGUUAUCUAAGAUUUUGUUGGGAUUUUGUUAAUUGUCAUUUAAGUUCCAUUAGAAGUUAUAAAUUUGCAUUUGUCACUGCAGCGUUGUCUGUCUUUGCCCAGGGAUUGUAACUGACUGCAAUUCAACAUUCAGUGACAGAACUGCUUAACACUGUCCAGGCAACCCUGGCUACUUGUUUCUGCACCUGCACUGCAGUCUUUACUAGGCUAGCAUGAUUGUUUUGGUGCAUAGUGGUCUAGCCCAUGAUUUAACUGAAGAAAAGUAGGGAUUAUGAAAACUGGCACUGCCACUGGCUGUUUUUAUCUUUUCCUCCUAACUACAUGGUGUAUGAAAUUAAAUGGAACCAGGAACUUAGAGGAGACCUGACAAAAGGGUAUGGUGGUGUGGGAUAAACUGAAAAAAGGAUUAUUCCUGACAAACUCAAGGCAACAGCAUGCCUGUACCUCCAUUCCAGGGAAUAAGUUAAAGUAGAAAAAAGUUAUCCUGAAGCAAAUGGAAUCAUAUGAAUACAGAAAUACUUCUGAAAAAUCCAGCAUGUACUGGGGCUUGUAAGUCAGCUUUGUUCUGGUAUGACUACAUCCGUACCUACUGUGCUGGUGUAACAAUGUUAAUAUGAAUGUUCUCCUAACUGACAGAGUUAUGCUAAUAAAACUUUUACAGGUACAAGACCCCUAAAAAUU